rnacentral:tRNA from 1 species
GGAGAACAGUGGCUUGCGGAAAGCCGCAGAAAGUCGUCGAACCACCCUUCACACGGGUGGGGUCGCAGGUUCAAUCCCUGCAUCGCCC